rnacentral:lncRNA from 1 species
GGGCCAUUUCAAAAACAAUGAGGAUUUUUACUUUUUGUGGUAUAUUUUUAUAUUAGUUAAGUUUAGAAUUAUAACACAGGUGUUAUAAAAUGCAGGAUAGUCAGGGCCAGCUUGCUGCCAAGUUUCAUGAAGAUAUCUUAAACCACUUCAGAGAAAUGUUUUAAAAACAGGCCAUUUUUGUCAGGAGUGUGACGCUUUUAGCGUGACAUUUAAAAAAUUAGAAAUUUUCAAA